CUGGAUUUGGAUUGGGAUUAGGAUUAGGAUUUAUAUCUGGAUUUGUGUCACUUGGCGGUGUAGUUGGAUUGAUGAUGGGAACAUUAUCUGGAGCCGUAUCAAGCUGGUUAUCAUACAUCGUUCGGGAAAAGAUGAAACUCGAGAAAACAUUACCUGGAAGAAGGAAGAGACAGAAGAAGAGACAUGAGAUGGCACUGCAUGGAGCUCCUGAACCCAUCCUUCCAGUUGCAAUGAAUAAUAAUGUCUUGUUGUUAAUGGCUCUGAUGGGUUGACAGAAAAUGGGUGAUUUCUCAAAGAAGAGAAGCAAUAGAAAUAAUGUAUGCUGUGAGGGAGAAGCCAUUUUUGGAGGAGAUUGUAUAUAUAUAAAUAAUAAAGUGUGAAGAAUCAAAGGUUUCUUGGAUUAGAGCAGAGGUUAGUGUUAUGGAAUAAAAGAAAACUUAGGGGAGGAGGCAUUGGAUAGGUGGGAAGUGCAAGCAAGGGAAGGUGCCUAAAUAGGAGAAAAGAUGUUUGGGGAGGGCCAUAGGGGAAAAAGGGGAGAUCUGUUUGGAAAUGCAAGUCUCAAGCUUUUUCAAUGGUGGUUUUCUGUACAAAUAACCAUGUUGCAGCAGCAUGGUGUUUUACAAAAAGGCCCCGUAGGGUUAGCUCAAGUGGUCGACUAUUUGACUUAAAGUUAGCAUUUUACUGGUAGGAUGUUCUAACACUUUGAGGGCUCUCCAAAUUAACAAAAGUGUCGAGAUGGGUCCCAUUUGUGCAAAAUCAAUGACAGGACUGACUGGGAGGCUGUUUGGGCGACUCGGGAUUUAGGAUUGGUCUGGCGAUAUCAUAAAACACAGAAUUUGUCUUCGUACCCCCCCACCCCCAUAACUCUCAAGUGUCUCUACCUUUUUGGUGAUGUGUACAGUGGAAA